UGAGGAAUUUUGCGCAAUGGGGGAAACCCUGACGCAGCAACGCCGCGUGAGUGAUGAAGGCUUUCGGGUCGUAAAGCUCUGUCAAGUGGGAAGAACCUGCCUUUUGCUAAUAUCAAUCGGCAAUGACGGUACCACUGAAGGAAGCACCGGCUAACUCCGUG
rnacentral:rRNA from 1 species